rnacentral:rRNA from 1 species
AUUAGGAAUCUCGCGCAAUGGGGGCAACCCUGACGCAGCGACGCCGCGUGGAGGAGGACGGCCUUCGGGUUGUAAACUCCUUUUGACGAGGAAGAAACAGAUGACGGUACUCGUCGAAUAAGCCCCGGCUAACUCCGUACCAGCAGCCGCGGUAAUACGGAGGGGGCGAGCGUUGUCCGAAGUUACUGGGCGUAAAGCGCGCGUAGGCGGGUUGGCAAGUCCGCUGUGAAAGCCCGAGGCUUAACCUCGGAGGGUCGGUGGAUACUGCCAGUCUUGAAGGUGCUAGGGGGAGAUGGAAUUACCGGUGUAGCGGUGAAAUGCGUAGAUAUCGGUAGGAACACCAGUGGCGUAGGCGGUCUCCUGGGGCAUUCUUGACGCUGAGGCGCGAAAGCUGGGGGAGCGAACGG